UUAAGUUCAGCGGGUAAUCUUGUCUGAUUUGAGAUCGUAAUUGAUAAUGAAACAAUUAGAGUUGUUUAUAGAGCCCUGCAAUGAAGCCUUAAUGUGAGAUCGGGACGACUGUCUCGCUAGCACACAUUGAGCAACAUUGGGAGGCUCAUCAACUCGAUAUAUUCAAACCAAAUAUGCAAAGCAGCACAUGAGGUCAGUUC
rnacentral:misc_RNA from 1 species